rnacentral:lncRNA from 1 species
GGCAAAAUUAUAAUUUCACUAAAAUCAUGAUUUGAUAGUAUCAUUUGAUAGAACAAAUGAUUUGUAAACUAUUGAUGAAAAUUUUAUUGUAUUUGGACUUAUAUUUUUGAAGUUAUGAAGGUUUGAAGUGCAUGAGUCGACUCAUGAGUCAACUCAUGGCACUGUGAGCUGAUUGGCACGCAAAAAAUUCCCAUGGCAUGCUGGAUUUUUGACUUGGCACGACCUGUGAGUCGACUCAUGAGUCGACCCACAAGGCAUGAGUCGACUCAUGAGUCGACCUCUACUGAUUUGAGCCGAAAAAUCUAGAAAUCAGACCUUCUGGUCUGUGCAAUAGAAGUCGACUCAUGAGUCGACUCCUGAUGCAUGAGUCGACUCAUGAGUCGACCCCUGCGAUGGAAAAUAUCAGCAACGACUAUUUUUUUGCCCAUUUUAAUUGCCAUUUAUGCUUCCUAAAAUUGCUCUAACGGCUCUUUAUCUACCUAAAUUAUUUUCUCUUGCUUCUAAUGCUACAAAAUGCUUAAAAUAGUGAAAGAAAUUGCAGAUUAAAUAGCGGAUCAAACAUGAAAUCAAAAACGAGAAG